rnacentral:rRNA from 1 species
CCUACGGGAGGCAGCAGUGGGGAAUUUUGGACAAUGGGCGCAAGCCUGAUCCAGCCAUGCCGCGUGCGGGAAGAAGGCCUUCGGGUUGUAAACCGCUUUUGUCAGGGAAGAAAAGGUUCUGGCUAAUACCUGGGACUCAUGACGGUACCUGAAGAAUAAGCACCGGCUAACUACGUGCCAGCAGCCGCGGUAAUACGUAGGGUGCAAGCGUUAAUCGGAAUUACUGGGCGUAAAGCGUGCGCAGGCGGUUAUGCAAGACAGAGGUGAAAUCCCCGGGCUCAACCUGGGAACUGCCUUUGUGACUGCAUAGCUAGAGUACGGUAGAGGGGGAUGGAAUUCCGCGUGUAGCAGUGAAAUGCGUAGAUAUGCGGAGGAACACCGAUGGCGAAGGCAAUCCCCUGGACCUGUACUGACGCUCAUGCACGAAAGCGUGGGGAGCAAACAGGAUUAGAUACCCUGGUAGUCCACGCCCUAAACGAUGUCAACUGGUUGUUGGGAGGGUUUCUUCUCAGUAACGUAGCUAACGCGUGAAGUUGACCGCCUGGGGAGGUACGGCCGCGAGUAGAACGUACGAAGAAGUAGACGGCGUGAGACGUGCCGACGGACGACGACGAGGGAGGAGG